rnacentral:rRNA from 1 species
UUUAAUGGCUGCAGUAUAACUGACUGUACAAAGGUAGCAUAAUCAAUUGAUUUUUAAAUGAAAUCUGGAAUGAAAGAAUUAAUGAAAUAUAUACUGUCUCAUAUUUAUUUUAUGAAUUUAAAAUUUUAAUAAAAAUGUUAAAAUUUUUUUAUGGGACGAUAAGACCCUAUAGAAUUUUAUAUUAAAUUAUUUUUGUAGUUAAUAUAAAAUUUAAUUUGAUAUUUAAUUGGGAGAAUUAUUAAAUUUAAAAAAUUUUAAUAUAAAUAAACUUAAAUUAAAGAAAAAAUUUUGAUCUUUAAUUUAAAAUUAAUAGAUUAAAUUACCUUAGGGAUAACAGCGUAAUAUUUUUUUAUAGAUCUUAUAGAAAAAAAUGAUUGCGACCUCGAUGUUGAAUUAAGAUAAAUUUUAAAUGCAGGAG